AUCUUAUCAGUCGAUUAUACUUUUUAUUGGAAGCUAUAUAUAAAUACAAUAUACACUUAUAAAAAUUAAUUGCAAGCAUGCUGUCUACUAAAAUUCUAAUCAUUUUAGUGAUAAUACUGUUUGCGUCCCCUUUUACCUGUGCCUGUGACGAAAAUGAAUUUAAAUUCAUGGUUCAGUUAAUAACGUUAGAUUUCGAAAAUAACCAACGAGAUUGUGCUGGAUCAUACAUAGCGGAGAAAUAUAUUCUAACUGCUGCCCAUUGUGUAAACAAGUACGUAUAAAUACGUAUCUUCUAAAUUUUAUAUUAGCUGUUUCACAAAUAUAUAGAGUGGUCCACAACUCUUCCCCACCGGAAAAGUGUCUAUGAUUUAGGCAAUUCUAAAUCUAAAGUUUCUUUACAAAAAAAUUCUAACUCUGCGCUUGGGAGAUAAGAACGUUUCAAAGUAGCCAAUCGAAAGGCCUUGCUCCGGAGGAUUACGGGAACAAAGGUUGCUAGGAAACCAAAAAUAGCAACAGAGCUUCAGGGAUUGGUCACUUUGGAACUUCUGCAUCUCCCAAACCAAGAAUAGAAGACCUAGUUUUUUGCAUAAUUGUCAUCCCCAUUGUUGUUACCACUGCACUUUCCUGCAGGAGAAUGAGUUGUGGACCACUCUGUAGAAAUGUCAACGUCACAGUUUCUCUAAAAUACGAAAGAGAUUCAUAUUGUAGAUAAUGAUGAAAACCAACUAAAAUCUCUAAUACUGGAUUCCAAUAAAGCAAGCGUUAUUCAUGAAAAAUUCUGUGAAAAUAAAGAAAAGCAUAGACUUGAUAAUGAUAUCGCACUAAUCCACUUAAAUGACAAUCAAGUUGCUCAAAUCAAGAGAAACAUUGCUCUUCGUACAAUAUCAGUAUCUUACGACUAUGACAUUAGUGAAAAAACAGAGUUGUACGUUCUAGGGUGGGGUACUUCAGACCCAAAUGCGGUCAAUGAUAAGUUAGAAAAGAAAAGUGUAAGAAAAAAAAAUUGUGAAGAAGAAAUCAACGACGAAUCCGUUGUGUGUACACAUAAGGACAAUGUUUAUAAAGGAGACUCUGGUGGACCUUUGAUUGCUGAUGACAAACAGAUAGGUAUUGUGUCUGGAGGUGUUGAAGAAAGCAUUCUUUACACAUUUUUGCCGUACUAUAAAUCAUGGAUAGCGAAAAAUGUUGAAGGACCUGAAACAGAUAAGAAUUCGUCAACGGAGCAUGUAAUUAUAGCAGUUACAAUGAUUUUAUGUCUAAUGUACAUAAACUUUAUCUAUUUCUAAACAAGUGAGAACAUGUACAGGUGUCUGGAAUGUCGCGCACCUCAUUGAAAGCGGGUAGUCCCCCAGUGUACCAAAAAAAUGUUAAAAAAAAUCCACAUCUUCUGUUUUCCCAUCAGAACCUAAACAAAUUAUGAAAAAAGGCAACGUUGCCCAAAGAUACACGUAAAAACUAAAAUUAAAAAUUACAGGGUGCUCAAAAACUGGCGCACCAACUCAGUGGUACGUUAUUGAGAAGCAAGUGCAGAUUACUGGAAAAAUGUUGAAAAAAUUCCUAAAGUUAUAUUUUAAAAAAUCUGGAGCUUAAAUUUAUUGUGUUAACUUCUUUAGUUUUCAUUAUUUUUUUAUAUUUUUAUGUUUCAUACCAGGUAAUCGUUCCGUAACAAAACGAUGAAUAAUUAUUUUAAAAUUUACUAUCAGAUUUUAGCAGUUUUUUUAAUUUAAAAAAAUUAAAAUUCAUCCAAAAAAUCACAAUAUGCAGAUGUGCCAACACUGAGAAUUAUUUCCUAGGAAACCGUUUCAAAAAUAAUUUAUUUUUAUUGUUGCUCAAAUUCUAUUGCGAUCUUGACUGUUAGACAACGUUGCCACAUAUCAUUUACCUAAAAUUAGUUAUUUAUCAAUAACUUUAAUACAAAGAAUUUUUUUACUAUUUUUACCUUUAUGUGUAAGCAAUUCUCUACCACACUCCGUUGAGUUGGUGCGCCAGUUUUUGAGCACGCUGUAUAAUUAAACUUUUGGAUACUAUUAAAAGGUGUUAAACAUAUUUAAUUUCUGGUGUUUAAAACCAUGGUUACGCCGUGGUAGUAUUGUUGUUAGUCGGAUUAUUCUCCCAUUAUCGUAUUUUUUAUUUAUAUAUUUCCAGCGUAUUCACCAAACAGCAAACACCAGUCACAAUAUUCACUCUUGGAAAACAUUUUAAUCCUUCACCGACACUUUUUGAAAUUGAAAAACUACCGCUGACAGACGAAACAAAAAUUUUAAUGACAUUAUAAACAAUCACCGUAACCAUGGUUUCAUCUGAACAACAAUAGUGUGUGGCCAAGUGUUGACAGAUUUAUCGUCAUUGUUGACUCAAAUUUUUUUUAACAUUUAUAACAUAAUUUAGCAAGGUUUCUUCAGUUUUUAUGUUAUUAAGUCCUUUUAUGCAAUUCAUUUAUUCCACAAAUGAAUUUGGAUCUGAAAUAAUAGUGCAAACACCUUUAUUUUGGGCAAAGACUUUUCACUCUUUCCUUCAUCAUAACUUCAACAAUAAAAGACUUAAGAUUUUUUUAACAUUUUUCUUGUUGUCUAGAGCAUCGCCUGAUGAUGUAGUGUCACGGCGGUGCGUGACUUUUCGGACGCCUCUAUAGUCGUUUUUUUAUAAUCAACUGUUAAAGUGUCGUCACGUUAACGUAAAUAGUUGUUUUUUCAAUUAACAAUUUAAAAAUUUGGUAAAACUUUUCAAAUUAAAUUUAUACAAUACAUCGUGUUAUUAAUAAUACACUUAGGAGCCGAUUGUUAAAUGUAGUGUGAAAAUUGUCAAAUACAAAAUGCAGCUAGUUUAGAAAGUGUCUAGACAUAAACUUUUACGGUCAUUCAGUCUGGUCUUUAUCGGAAUAUUCAGUAUUUUGACACUGGCAAUUGAUUAUUAAAAAAAUGAACGAUAUUAUUCCCUUUAUUUACUUUAUCUUAAUUUUACUUGUAGCUUUAUAUGACUUAUUCUUAAAUUCAUUUGAACUGUUUAAAUGUUAUUAGAAAAUGUGAAUUAUGUAGGUAUUAUUAUUAUUAUUGUUAUUAAGAAAAAGGUAUGUAAUGCUAAAUCUUGUAUCAUAGGUGGAGUGAAAUAUAUAGUACCUACAUAUAGGGUGCUCAAAAACUGGCGCACCAACUCAGUGGUACGUUAUUGAGAAGCAAGUGCAGAUUACGGGAAAAAUGUUGAAAAAAUUUCAUAUUUUAAAAAAUCUGAAGCUAUAAACUUAUUGUGUUAACUUUUGAAUUUUUUUACUAUUUGUACCUUUAUAUGUAACCAGUUCUCUACCACACACCAUUGAGUUGGUGCGUCAGUUUUUGAGCACGCUGUAUAAUGAAACCAUCUAGUUUAUUUAUUGCAAAAUGCUUUUUUCUGCAUUUUUUUAAUGUGAAAACCCAUCGCAAAAAUCGCGAAGGUGUUAGGAGGAGUCCUCAUCGUUCACUUUCACGGCGCCUACAAUAAAUCUUGAUGAAAUUAAAUUCCACCAUGUUUUGCAUAACAAUACCCAAGUUUAUGAAUAAAUUGUAGAUAUGCUCUCGCCGUAAUUUACAAACCAAAUAAUGUAACACCAAGAUUACCAGCAAUAAAUAACUUUGUGAAAAUUC